UGGAUUAGGCAUGCAAGUCGAGCGAUCCCGCAAGGGAUAGCGGCAAACGGGUGAGUAACACGUGAGUAAUCUGCCCUAAAGUCUGGGAUAGCUUCGUGAAAACGGAGGUAAUACCGGAUAUGGUCAUGAGUUGGCAUCAACUUAUGAUUAAAGGUGGGGACCGCAAGGCCUACCACUUUGGGAUGAGCUCGCGUCCUAUCAGCUUGUUGGUAGGGUAACGGCCUACCAAGGCUUUUGACGGGUAACUGGUUUGAGAGGAUGGUCAGUCACACUGGGAAUGAGACACUGCCCAGACUCCUACGGGAGGCUGCAGUCGAGAAUAUUUAGCAAUGGGCGAAAGCCUGACUAUGGGACGCCGCGUGAGGGAUGAAGGUUUUCGGAUCGUAAACCUC
rnacentral:rRNA from 1 species